rnacentral:ncRNA from 1 species
CGAUAGAGGUCGCGGAGAUCAAGAGUAGAUCAAGAGUAGCGGCAAGAAAAGCGAGGGAACGCUGCCGUGAAAGGGUGAUCCGCCGAAGCCAGUCAGAGACCCGGACUGACAGGCUGGGACGAUGUAAUAAGAUGCAUCGUACUGUCACGUAAGUGGAGCGCUAUCAU